AAAUCAGAAAUUAAAAAGAAAAUAGAAAAAACAAGGGCCAUCAGAUAUCCCUCAUUAAUUAAGGUGGCAGAUCUGAUGGCCAAGUGCGCGCGUUCCACAAUGGUCCUCAGUCAAUGCAUCAUACACAUGGUAAUUAAAAGGCAGGGCUCAGAUCAAAACGUUUUAACAUGAUCAGAUGGUCAGGAAGCACACCAAUACAUCACCAAAGCCCUAGCUCCGGUCGUCUUCUCCG
rnacentral:lncRNA from 1 species